CCCGCAGGGCUCCGGGCGGCCGUGACCCUGCUGGAGUGCGGGGGGGACCUCCAGCCCCCCGGGGGGUCCCUGACUCUGCUCUGCCGCGCCUCUGGGUUUGAUUUUGGGAGUUUCGCCAUGAUCUGGAUCCGCCAGAGUCCCCAGAAGGGACUGGAAUGGCUCGGAGGGGUCACCAGUGGUGGCAGUGCCUACUACGCGCCCUCGGUCAAGGGUCGGUUCUCGAUCUCCAGGGACAACGGGCAGAGCUCGGUGACGCUGACCAUGAACAACCUCAAGGACGAGGAUUCCGCCGUUUAUUUCUGUGCUAAACAUCAUGGUGGUUAUGAUGAUCCUCUUGAUGCUGGUUAUGUUGGCAAUUUUGGCCCCUGUCCCAUCACUGCAUCAUCACCUGUCCCCACCCAUCCCCACACCCUUCCCCCAAAUCCCAGCCCUUGA